AUACCUUAAACUUAUGAGUAAGGAACACAAUGAUUUGGGGUGACACCUAAAUCCUCACUGCUGAUGUGAGACGAAUUUUUGAGUGGGUAAAGGUCAUCCCUAAGGUGACCUGCCUGCUUUGCAGGAUGCCUGGAAGUCCCAUUCUGCCUG
ensembl:snRNA U12 U12 minor spliceosomal RNA